CAUGGUGUGUAUGCCGACAAAAGGCGCGGUCCGGACAGCGACUCAAGCUGACGCGUGAAUGUGUGCGCUCGGAUUGCCCGCCCGUUCUGAAAUUGGCGUGUUCAUUCAUUGCAGGACACGGGCGAUACAUUUGACAGCAUUGCUGCUGGCCUGCCCAUGCUUGACUUUGGCGGUGAGGCGGCUGCUGCGAAAGCAAGAUGCGCUAGCCGAGUCCCACGUGCGCGUGGUCGUUACCCUAUGGCACCCAAACGAUCGUUACGAUCGCUGUUACCUAGGUCGUAGAUCGUUACCCCUCCGGCAUCGUUACGAUCUCGCUACGAUCUGCUUACCAUCUUAACCAGCCAUGGUAACAGCCUCGUCACGGUCUACAAGGCACACCAGUAACCAUCACUUUGAGGCCCGUUACAUGGCAGCCUUGUGCUUUGCUGAAGGCCUACAUCAGUACUAAAGUAAGAACUAUGUAGUCCUACCGCUACUCCACAUGCUAGCCAUCUGUCAAGGCUUGAUAGCACGACAAGUGCAGAUGCUCAUGCAACACUUAUGCAACACUACCGCAAGUCCAUACGUACAUGCAACAAUACGCCAAGUCCCUAUCGUCUGCGUGUGAACGUGCAACUAGCCACUGGCAGCAACCACUUGCAUGUCUGCUGGGCACAACAUCUCCGACCCACCACCUUGACGCCCGCCGCCACCACAGCUACCAUGCCAACUAUGCCACUGGCGCCGCCGCGCCUGCCUCCAUCUUUAGCACCAGACAGCUGGUGUCAAGCUGGCUCCUGUAGUUUUGCUUCCACCGGCAGCGCCUGCAUGCACGCGUGCACACACAUAGACACACCCAGUUAAUUGUCUGCCACAAGGUGGGCAGGUGCCAAUGCAUGUCAAGGCCAGCCAUGGACAGAGUGCUUGGCAGUGCACGGGGCCUACCACACAAGGCGCGUCUGUGUGCACAUGUGCAUGUGUGUGCGCCUACACGUGUCACGGACACUCACCGUUGAUGAGCACAAUGCUGGAGGUGUAGGGGCAGUCCAGCCAACCGUACGGUCCAGAGGGGACAGAGGGGUUGGGCAGCAAGCUGUGGCGGGGCAGGGUGUGUGCGUGUGGAGGGGAGGGGUGGUAUGUGAGACACAAGGCACCGUGGCAAGGGAGCCAUAAAAACACCUUACAGCGAGCGCUAGUAAGGGAGGCAGCAGACAGUCACUAGUUGAAGGCGCAACCCAACACAGCGCGAGAAGUUGAACCAUGCACACUGGCUUGCUAGGUACCACUAGGUUCAACGCAUCCCAUCGUCAUUCAACCUGCGGACUAACCUGCGGACUAUGGCGUGCGGGGCGAGGGUGAUGUUGACAGAACGCGAUGUUGAAUGGCGUUGUUGACGCCGGCGACCGAGACUUCUCGGUCGGACAUUUGAAGCGCAGCUGAUAGAUCAUGAGGCAUAGUCGUUUCUCUCACGUAAUAGCUGGCUGCAGCUGACGUGUGAGCAGCGUCGCCAAGCCGGUCAACGAGCGGUCAGCAGCGUGAGGGCUCGCGUCCCAAGCCAGCCAAGCAGCGUCUGCCGCCAGCUCUUGUUCUACUGACAUUUGAGCUACCAUAAAUUUGUGUUUACGAAGAGAAGUAGCGAGGGCGAGAGAGCAAACGGGGGGAGAGGAACAGAAGUGCAGCGGCACCGGCAUGAAGUGCAGUGUAUCAGUAUAUGUAUGGUACUAUAUCAGUAUAUGUAUAGUAGUAUCAGGGGCCGCUCUAUGCAGCUUAUUAAGUCAGGCCCGCGAGAACCCCAUGCAGGAACCCUGUUACCCGUCGCAAAGGCCCCGUUACCCCUUGCUUAGGGUCGUUACCACGC
rnacentral:lncRNA from 1 species